rnacentral:lncRNA from 1 species
CAGAAAGCAGUCACAUCCCAGUAAAAACGCGCCCACACCUCACCCUGUCUGAGGAAGAGGUGCUUCAGCAGGUCUUCUGUGGACAUUUCACUCGACUGUAGAGUGUACGAAGUAAAUGCAAAUGAAGACGCACACGGUUACACCAGCAAAGAACACACUGUGCUCUGGGGAGAAGGGCAGAUUCGCUUCGUCUGCCGUGGUUCCAGGACACUCUUCAGAAGCGCCUGUUCACACGCUCACCCUGAAUACACGAGACUCUUCCUGACACCACCAUGGAAGCGGGCUCCCUAGAAGUCUAUAAAAUAUGAAUGGACCCAUGACCCAGAAACAACAUCUCAUGGUACACUUUUGUGGACACUUAAAAGAAGCAGUGCAGAGCUCCAAAAAUACUUCUUUCUCACUCAGGCAGGCACACCCUCACUGAGAGGGCGUCUCUCCUGUCACUUACAUGCAUAUGCAGACUGGGCCCUUUCUGGAAUGGAACCUGGCCCUCCAGCUCCUGCAGAGGCCCUUGGAGCCAAGGAGGCCCCGCAUGGGGAGAGCUAUGAGGUGAGGAGUGUGAGGAAAAGGAUUCUACCUUCUCUGACUCCCAGAAAGGAUUGCUACAAAGGUUCAAAGGUGGGGGGAGGGGGUUGUGGGGGGAUAAAGGGGAGAGAAAUUGCAA